ensembl:Y_RNA Y_RNA Y RNA
GGCCAGUCCAAGAGUGCAGUGAUGUUUAUAACUAAUUUGUCAUAACCAGUUAUAUAUAUCUUUAUUCCUUUUCCAUUCCCACUUCUUCACUUGACUAGCCUUUA